rnacentral:rRNA from 1 species
GACGAACGCUGGCGGCGUGCCUAACACAUGCAAGUCGUGCGAGAAAGUUCCUUCGGGAGCGAGUAAAGCGGCGCACGGGUGAGUAACACGUAGGUAACCUGCCCCCCCAGUCUGGAACAACUAGAGGAAACUCUAGCUAAUGCCGGAUGAGACCACGGAUCCCUUCGGGGGUUGCGGCCAAAGAUGGCCUCUACUUGUAAGCUAUCGCUGAGGGAUGGGCCUGCGGGCCAUUAGCUUGUUGGUGAGGUAACGGCUCACCAAGGCUGUGAUGGCUAGCUGGUCUGAGAGGAUGACCAGCCACACUGGGACUGAGACACGGCCCAGGACUCCUACGGGAGGCAGCAGUGGGGAAUAUU